AGAGCUUGUCUAAGGGUCCCCUUCUCUCCCUAUUACAUCGACGGAGGCCACUAUGUGUUACUAGAUGAUUUAGCCCGUGAUAUUUGGGAAUGGGUCUGGCUCUCUUGCGCUCAUAUCAUGUAAAAUUUUAUUAGGCAACCAUUAGCUGCAUGAGGGUCAGAAUGUCAACCCAUAUGCGUUAGGACGGCGGAAAUGGCUCGGAUUGUCUGUGGUCAUGUUGGUUAAGACUUUUUGGAAUAAGCUAGUUGGUAAGAAUUGAGUUGUACACAUCGGUUGAUCGCAUUGGCAUAACAUUUAGUGGUUCCCAAGGCAGUGGCUG
rnacentral:lncRNA from 1 species